UACGGAGGGUGCGAGCGUUGUCCGGAAUCACUGGGCGUAAAGGGCGCGUAGGCGGCGCGAGUAGUCAACGGUGAAAGCCCGGGGCUCAACCCCGGGUCGGCCGUCGAUACUCUCGUGCUUGAGCACUGUAGAGGCAGGUGGAAUUCCGGGUGUAGCGGUGAAAUGCGUAGAGAUCCGGAGGAACACCGAAGGCGAAGGCAGUCUCCUGGCAAGUUACUGACGCUCAGGUGCGAAAGCUAGGGGAGCGAACAGG
rnacentral:rRNA from 1 species